AACGAACGCUGGCGGCGUGCCUAACACAUGCAAGUCGUGCGAGAAAGUUCCUUCGGAGCGAGUAAAGCGGCGCACGGGUGAGUAACACGUAGGUAACCUGCCCCCCAGUCUGGAACAACUAGAGGAAACUCUAGCUAAUGCCGGAUGAGACCACGAUCCCGUUCGGGGGUUGCGGCCAAAGAUGGCCUCUACUUGUAAGCUAUCGCUGAGGGAUGGGCCUGCGGGCCAUUAGCUUGUUGGUGAGGUAACGGCUCACCAAGGCUGUGAUGGCUAGCUGGUCUGAGAGGAUGACCAGCCACACUGGGACUGAGACACGGCCCAGACUCCUACGGGAGGCAGCAGUGGGGAAUAUUGCGCAAUGGGCGAAAGCCUGACGCAGCGACGCCGCGUGGGUGAUGAAGGCCUUCGGGUCGUAAAGCCCUGUCGCAGGGGAAGAAUAAGCAUCGGUAUAAUACGCCGGUGCCCUGACGGUACCCUGCAAGAAAGCACCGGCUAACUCCGUG
rnacentral:rRNA from 1 species